rnacentral:rRNA from 1 species
UGAGGUGUGGAUAGGGGAGAAAUUCCAAUCGAACCCGGAGAUAGCUGGUUCUCCUCGAAAUAGCUUUAGGGCUAGCCUCGUUUUAGUCUUAUGGAGGUAGAGCACUGAAUUUCCGCGGGGGCGUCAAAGCUUACCAAAGAAUAUCAAACUCCGAAUGCCAUGUAGAUGAUGAACGGGAGUCAGACUGCACGAGAUAAGUUGGGCGGUCAAAAGGGAAAGAGCCCAGACCACCGGCUAAGGUCCCAAAGUGUGUGUUAAGUGGAAAAGGAUGUGGGAAUUCGAAGACAACUAGGAUGUUGGCUCAGAAGCAGCCAUACAUUCAAAGAGUGCGUAACAGCUCACUAGUCGAGAGUCCCUGCGCCGAAAAUGUCCGGGGCUGAAACACAACACCGAAGCCGUGGACUCCGUAAGGAGUGGUAGAGGAGCAUUCUUAAAACCGACGAAGCUGUACCGGUAAGGAGCAGUGGAGGGAUAAGAAGAGAGAAUGCCGGAAUGAGUAGCGAGAGGAAGGUGGGAAUCCUUCCGGCCGAAUAUCUAAGGUUUCCAGAGUAAAGCUGAUCUGCUCUGGGUAAGUCGGGGCCUAAGGAGAGGUCGCAAGACGUAUCCGAUGGACAACAGGUUUAGAUUCCUGUACCGCAUAUAAACAGAACUGUGGGGACGCAUGUGGAAAGCAUAAGCCGGGAAUGGAAAGACCGGUACAAGCGGGGUAGGUGUGUGACAGGCAAAUCCGUCAUAUAAGCCGAAGACGUGAUGUGGAGCGAAAUUUAGUAGUGAAGUAUGUGAGCCAUGUGCCGAGAAAAGCCGCUAUUGUUUUAUAUGUGCCCGUACCGUAAACCGACACAGGUGGAUGAGGAGAGAAUCCUAAGGCCGACGGAAGAAGCAUUGUUAAGGAAUUCGGCAAAAUGACCCCGUAACUUCGGGAGAAGGGGUGCCCACUGAAUGGUGGGCCGCAGAGAAUAGGCUCAAGCAACUGUUUAGCAAAAACACAGGUCUAUGCGAAACCGAAAGGUGAAGUAUAUGGGCUGACGCCUGCCCGGUGCUGGAAGGUUAAGAGGAGAGGUUAGCGCAAGCGAAGCUUUGAAUUUAAGCCCCAGUAAACGGCGGCCGUAACUAUAACGGUCCUAAGGUAGCGAAAUUCCUUGUCGGGUAAGUUCCGACCC